CCGCCACACUGGAACUGAGACACGGUCCAGACUCCUACGGGAGGCAGCAGUGGGGAAUUUUGGACAAUGGGGGCAACCCUGAUCCAGCCAUGCCGCGUGAGUGAAGAAGGCCUUCGGGUUGUAAAGCUCUUUCGGCCGGGAAGAAAUCGCAUAGGCUAAUACCCUGUGUGGAUGACGGUACCGGAAUAAGAAGCACCGGCUAACUACGUGCCAGCAGCCGCGGUAAUACGUAGGGUGCGAGCGUUAAUCGGAAUUACUGGGCGUAAAGCGUGCGCAGGCGGUUUAGUAAGACAGGCGUGAAAUCCCCGGGCUCAACCUGGGAACUGCGCUUGUGACUGCUAAGCUAGAGUACGGCAGAGGGGGGUGGAAUUCCACGUGUAGCAGUGAAAUGCGUAGAGAUGUGGAGGAACACCGAUGGCGAAGGCAGCCCCCUGGGCCGAUACUGACGCUCAUGCACGAAAGCGUGGGUCCACGCCCUAAACGAUGUCAACUAGGUGUUGGGAGGGUAAAACCUUUUAGUACCGGAGCUAACGCGUGAAGUUGACCGCCUGGGGAGUACGGCCGCAAGGUUAAAACUCAAAGGAAUUGACGGGGACCCGCACAAGCGGUGGAUGAUGUGGAUUAAUUCGUAGCAACGCGAAAAACCUUACCUACCCUUGACAUGUCCAGAAGCUCUUAGAGAUUUGAGUGUGCCCGAAAGGGAGCUGGAACACAGGUGCUGCAUGGCUGUCGUCAGCUCGUGUCGUGAGAUGUUGGGUUAAGUCCCGCAACGAGCGCAACCCUUGUCGUUAAUUGCCAUCAUUUAGUUGGGCCAUUUAACGAGACUGCCGGUGACAAACCGGAGGAAGGUGGGGAUGACGUCAAGUCCUCAUGGCCCUUAUGGGUAGGGCUUCACACGUCAUACAAUGGUCGGUACAGAGGGUUGCCAAGCCGCGAGGUGGAGCCAAUCCCAGAAAGCCGAUCGUAGUCCGGAUUGCAGGCUGCAACUCGCCUGCAUGAAGUCGGAAUCGCUAGUAAUCGCGGAUCAGCAUGUCGCGGUGAAUACGUUCCCGGGUCUUGUACACACCGCCCGUCACACCAUGGGAGCGGGUUCCGCCAGAAGUAGGUAGCCUAACCGCAAGGGGGGCGCUUACCACGGCGGGGUUCGUGACUGGGGUGAAGUCGUAACAAGGUAGCCGUAGGGGAACCUGCGGCUGGAUCACCUCC
rnacentral:rRNA from 1 species